CACAUCACGCAAAUCCAAACUCAAUUAACUCUCUAAAUAUUGUAGCAGUUUAUGAACUUGACUUGUAUAUUUACUUUGGACAAAUUCUUUCCAAAAAAAUUCUGAAUAAACAACAUUGAAUAAGAGAUGCAAAUCCGCCUAAUAUUUGAAGCUAAACUUGUGGCUAUUGCAGCUGUUAACAGAUCCAUAAAAUUGAAGCAACAUUGCAAUCACCUUCGCAAUAUCUCAGCAAGCUCAAGCUACACUAAAAGCUCCAGCUCUGUUGUCACUAUCAAUAAGAACAACACCCAUAAAGCACUAAUCCAUAGACCAUAGUAUCUCCCAGCUUAUAAAGCGAUCCGAUUUACUCUUAACUUUUGGGUUAGCAUCUGACAGCAUUAUAGGGUCAUAAGGUCCACUUCUCGAGAACCUAACCAAUAGGAAGAGAAGCCAAAUUCAGAUCAGCCCACCAAGAAGAAAUACCAAUCAACUGAGUGCCCUCUAUCGCAUCUAGAGUCAUUCAUGUUUAAUUAGGUGACAGCAUGGAAAAGCCGAUUAUAGAUCAUGGUUUUGUUCCGACAGUGUAAGCAUAAAAUCUAUGAUAUGCUAUAUGUAAUACGAAAAAAAACUUUAUACCAUGAUUGAAAUCAAAUAACAUUAGAUCGGAUUUACGAUACGUACCUUCUAAUGUCAUCUGAAAAAGAUCUGUGUGAUCUACAAAGAUAUUAUCCCUAGAUCUAAAAAACUACUGUCAAUCUAUAAGGAAAACUAGACACUUCUUCUCCUCUCUUCCUAUCUUUCACAGGAUCACUUAAAUUGAUGGAUUAAGAAGAUUGAGAGAGAAAUCGUAAUAUUUCAAUUGCCUCUUCUAUGACGAAAUGUCUUGUCUAUUUAUAGGCGAUAGCAGAAGGUCUAGAAUAAAUUAUUAUGAGAGUUCUACUAUAAUAUGAACUUCUUUUAUAUUUAUCAAUAUCUAUCAUCAGAAUCUAAUUAAUUUAUCUUAUCCAAUUAUAAAGUACCACAUAAUCUAAUUUGUUAUAUAUAUCAACCAUUUGUUAUAUGGCAAGUAAUUAAUUAUUUUUUCCGGUUGAAACACCUACAGGAAUGGUUGUUGGAGCUUCUAAGUACAAAAACCCAAAUGACCAAAAUGGCUGUUAGAUCUUAUAUUCCUGCUCUAACAACGGCGUCUUCCACCUAAUAAUUCGACACAGCUUAUACUGUUUUGCACAUCUAUGCAUAUCUCAGUACUCCUACCCUCACAGAGACGUUGCGGAUAGCAUGCCUAAAAAACCUCCGCGCCUUCAACAAGGAUCUCACUCACCCACGCCCCACUCCACACUUUGGUUCGACUUCCCGUCGAAUUCUUGUAGUAUGGAACAAAAGGUAAACCUUCAAUAAUAAUAAUAAUAAUAAACCCUAGCGAAAUGUCAAUCUCAAACUGAAUUGGGAAAAAGAAAUUCUGCACAGAGAUGCCGAUGGAAUGAAUAAAGGAUUUACUGAUAGCACCAAUUUACAUGCAAAAAAUUGGUAAGCAGAAGCCUUGGAGACAUUAGAAAACAGAAAUGCCUUACGACGAUAAUAUUACUGAGGAGAUGAGGAGACCACCUAUUUCCCGAAGCGGUUUCCUUCGAACGAACAACGAACGAGAGGCCCCCUCGGUCACCGCUGACUAGUAGCUGGCGAUCGAGGUCGCCCUCGCCCGGCCGCGAUUUCCUCAUCAUCUUGGCUUCCCGGAGGACUCGCCGGAUCUCCCACCCGAGCUGCUUCACUCGAUCGAUAACCCUAACACGGGAUUGCUGCCGCUUGGGGACGGAACAGGUGGCGGCGACGGUGCGGUGUGAAAUGACGACUUCGCUCACACGUGCUAACGGUUUCCUUAGUCUAGUUUAGUGGGACUCAGGCACGUGCUCUGCAAGUGAGGAUGGUUCUAGAUGACUGUUAAAACUUCUCUUGUUUCUCUCUAGAACACGG
rnacentral:lncRNA from 1 species